rnacentral:lncRNA from 1 species
CAUACUUCAUAAAUAUUUCAAUAAGAUUUAUCAAAGUAUUUUCAUUAUUAGUUUUGACACCAAAAUUAAAUACCAAUAUUCAAGAUGGCACAUAUCCAAACAUACUCAUUUUUUAUAAAUAUUUCAAGUAAGCAAAUGAGCAUCUUAUAUCUUAAGCAUAUCUUUCUCCCAUAUACUCAAUUUAAACAUGAAGUAUAUAAGCAUAUAAUUAAUUCAAACAUAAACUCAAUAAGCAUAUACUCAACAUAACAUCUCUCCCUCUUUUUAAUAGCAUCAAAAAGUCCAAGA